AUCUGACGAGUCCCAAAUAGGACGAAAUGCGCAUCCUGGAU
rnacentral:hammerhead_ribozyme from 1 species